CCCUUCUCAGGAUCGCUCCUGGAGAGUUUCCAAUACUCUUCCAGUCUCGGCUACAGGAGGGAGAGUCAAGCAGAGGCCUAUCCAUUCCAUGUCUAGCCUGAGCAGUGGCUAGUGAGUGGAAGACAAUCUGCUACAAGC